rnacentral:tRNA from 1 species
GCGGCGAUGGCGAAAUUGGUAGACGCACUACCUUGAGGUGGUAGCGCCUGAAAGGGUGUGGCGGUUCGAAUCCGCUUUGCCGCACAA